GAUGAACGCUGGCGGCGUGCCUAAUACAUGCAAGUCGAGCGAACGGACCCGGAGUUUUCUGCUCUGAGGUAGGCGGCGACCGGGGGAGUACCCCGUGGUUAACCUCCCUAUACGACUGGGUUAACUUCGGGAAACCGUAGUUAAUACCGGAUAAUAUUUUGUACCGCAUGGUUCAACAGUGAAAGAUGGUCUUGCUGUCACUUAUGGAUGGAUCUGCGCUGCCUUAGCUAGUUGGUAAGGUAAGGGUGUACCAAGGCAACGUUGCUUAGCCGCCCUGAGAGGGUGAUCGGCCACACUGGAGCUGAUGCACGGUCCAGAAGCCUACGGCAGGCAGCAGUAGGGAAGCUUCCGCAAUGGGCGAAAGCCUGACGGUGCAGCGCCGCGUGAGUGAUGAAGGUCGUCUGAUCGUUAAACUCUUUUAUCAGGGAAGAACAUAUGUGUAAUUAACUGUGCACAGCUUGACGGUGCCGAGUCAGAAAGCCACGGCUAACUACGUG
rnacentral:rRNA from 1 species